UUGAAAUCCUGUCAUAUGCAAAAAUUAUGGACGGCCAUACAGAAUGUGUUCUGUGGAAUGGCAUUUGGUGCAGUUGCUGCCCUAUACGGCCACCAUCGAGUGUGUGAACCCUUUUGAUUUAUCCCCGUGAGUUACUGUUUUCCCCGCAGACGCAGGCUCCCCUUUGCUUAGUUCCAAUUCCUCGCAACGAUCAUCCAAAAACUUGAAGAAGUCGUCGAGAGUGGUGCUAGAUAUAUAAUCCAACAGUCGCGUCCCGUUUGAUUUACGGCAUCCUGACCACGUACAAUUUCGUUUGCACCGUCGGACACUUUACGCAAAAUCGCAGCAUCAAUUUUAGUAAUUGUUCCAAUUGUUUAAUAAAUUGUUCCAAAAACGAGUUUACAAUA